rnacentral:rRNA from 1 species
GACGAACGCUGGCGGCGUGCUUAACACAUGCAAGUCGAACGGUGAUGGCCAGCUUGCUGGUCUGAUCAGUGGCGAACGGGUGAGUAACACGUGAGCAACCUACCCCAGACUCUGGAAUAACCAUGGGAAACGAUGGCUAAUACCGGAUACGAGACGUACACGCAUGUGUGGUGUCUGGAAAGAUUUAUCGGUCUGGGAUGGGCUCGCGGCCUAUCAGCUUGUUGGUGGGGUAGUGGCCUACCAAGGCGACGACGGGUAGCCGGCCUGAGAGGGCGACCGGCCACACUGGGACUGAGAUACGGCCCAGACUCCUACGGGAGGCAGCAGUGGGGAAUAUUGCACAAUGGGCGCAAGCCUGAUGCAGCGACGCCGCGUGAGGGAUGACGGCCUUCGGGUUGUAAACCUCUUUCAGCAGGGAAGAAGCGAAAGUGACGGUACCUGCAGAAGAAGCGCCGGCUAACUACGUGCCAGCAGCCGCGGUAAUACGUAGGGCGCAAGCGUUGUCCGGAAUUAUUGGGCGUAAAGAGCUCGUAGGCGGUUUGUCGCGUCUGCUGUGAAAACCUAAGGCUCAACCUUGGGCUUGCAGUGGGUACGGGCAGACUAGAGUGCGGUAGGGGUGACUGGAAUUCCUGGUGUAGCGGUGGAAUGCGCAGAUAUCAGGAGGAACACCGAUGGCGAAGGCAGGUCACUGGGCCGCAACUGACGCUGAGGAGCGAAAGCAUGGGGAGCGAACAGGAUUAGAUACCCUGGUAGUCCAUGCCGUAAACGUUGGGCACUAGGUGUGGGGCUCAUUCCACGAGUUCCGUGCCGCAGCAAACGCAUUAAGUGCCCCGCCUGGGGAGUACGGCCGCAAGGCUAAAACUCAAAGAAAUUGACGGGGGCCCGCACAAGCGGCGGAGCAUGCGGAUUAAUUCGAUGCAACGCGAAGAACCUUACCAAGGCUUGACAUACACCGGAAACUUCCAGAGAUGGUUGCCCCGCAAGGUCGGUGUACAGGUGGUGCAUGGUUGUCGUCAGCUCGUGUCGUGAGAUGUUGGGUUAAGUCCCGCAACGAGCGCAACCCUCGUCCCAUGCUGCCAGCGGGUUAUGCCGGGGACUCAUGGGAGACUGCCGGGGUCAACUCGGGGGAAGGUGGGGAUGACGUCAAAUCAUCAUGCCCCUUAUGUCUUGGGCUUCACGCAUGCUACAAUGGCCGGUACAAAGGGCUGCGAUACCGCGAGGUGGAGCGAAUCCCAAAAAGCCGGUCUCAGUUCGGAUUGGGGUCUGCAACUCGACCCCAUGAAGUCGGAGUCGCUAGUAAUCGCAGAUCAGCAACGCUGCGGUGAAUACGUUCCCGGGCCU